AACGAACGUUGGCGGCGUGGAUUAGGCAUGCAAGUCGUACGGGAUUCGGGGGCAACUCCGGAUUCAGUGGCGAACGGGUGAGUAACGCGUGGGAAACCUGCCUUCGAGAUGGGGGAUAACACUCCCAACGGGGUGCUAAUACCCGAUAAGACCACGGGGCCGCAUGGUCCUGAGGUCAAAGAUGGCCUCUACUUGUAAGCUAUCACUUGAAGAGGGUCCCGCGUCCCAUUAGCUAGUUGGUGGGGUAAUGGGCCCACCAAGGCGACGAUGGGUAGCUGGUCUGAGAGGAUGGUCAGCCACACUGGGACUGAGAUACGGCCCAGACUCCUACGGGAGGCUG
rnacentral:rRNA from 1 species